rnacentral:rRNA from 1 species
AUUGAACGCUGGCGGCAUGCCUUACACAUGCAAGUCGAACGGUAACGCGGGGCAACCUGGCGACGAGUGGCGAACGGGUGAGUAAUGUAUCGGAACGUGCCCAGUUGUGGGGGAUAACUGCUCGAAAGAGCAGCUAAUACCGCAUACGACCUGAGGGUGAAAGCGGGGGAUCGCAAGACCUCGCGCAAUUGGAGCGGCCGAUAUCAGAUGAGGUAGUUGGUGGGGUCAAGGCUCACCAAGCCAACGAGCUGUAGCUGGUCUGAGAGGACGACCAGCCACACUGGGACUGAGAAACGGCCCAGACUCCUACGGGAGGCAGCAGGGGGGAAUUUUGGACAAUGGACGCAAGUCUGAUCCAGCCAUGCCGCGUGCGGGAAGAAGGCCUUCGGGUUGUAAACCGCUUUUGUCAGGGAAGAAACGGGUUUCUCUAAUAAAGAGGCCUAAUGACGGUACCUGAAGAAUAAGCACCGGCUAACUACGUGCCAGCCGCCGCCGUAAGAC